UUUUAUAAUUAUAAUUACUAUUAUAAAAUGGUGAUCUAUAACUUAUAAGUGCCAAAAAUAUUUAUUUAAACAAAUAAACAAAACUCAGAACUCUUACAGCAUAAAGUGAUCAAAUAAAUUGAUAUCUAUAGCAAGCUUUGUAGAAAAAGUAUGGCUGAAAAUAUUAAAUUUGUUUAUUUAACGAUCAUUUUUAUUUCCUUGUUUCUUGUGGUAACUGAUGUUAGUGCAAUAUAUAAACUUUGCAAGGAGGAUCAUGAAUGCGCUUAUAUUGUUUGUGUAGCUCCUUGGGUUGGAAAAUGCUAUCGUAAUCAUUAUUGUAAAUGUUUUCCUCCUCCUGAUUUUUAUGAUCCGUUUGUUUCUAUGGAAAAAAAAUAGAAAGAAAGAAAAUUACGCAUACCAAUAUAUGAAUUUAGAUUAACUUUAGUCUAAGUUCAUGUAUUGAUUUGUGUAAUGUUUUUUCCUCCUACUUUCUUUUCAUAGAACCAAAUGGGUCCUUCGUGAAGGAUGCACCUAGAUUUUUAAAAUUUUCAACAAUAUUCUUAUUUUAAUUUUUUUUUUAUUUUGCUCCCACUGUUUUUUUUGUUUUGCAACACUUACAUAAAGCUGUAAAACACUUUUUACUA